CCACCCUAAAGCUAAACAAGCAGCUUAAGUAAUAUGUUAUUCUAAUUGGCCAACGCAUUUGACCGGAAAUAAAACCUUUGACCAAUGAAAAACCUUUUGCCACGCCCCUACCGGAAAAAACUUUCGACCAAUGAAAAACCUUUUGCCACGCCCCUACCUUUUACCACGCCCAUUUCUCCAGGCUGCAGUUACCCCCUACUCGUUUGUUUCGUAAAAGCGAAAGUACCAGAAGGUUUUAUUUCCGGGUUUGCUCACCUGAGUUUACGGUCAGGAUCAGAAUGGCGUAUCAGGUCCGCAUCAGGAUUAAUAGAAGCACUAUUAAAUUAUUAUCAGUUUCGUCAUCGAGUGAAGAGUUUGAGAAAUUCACCAUUAGAGAACUGAAGAGAAAAGCACUGAGUUACUUGCCUGGAGAUAACAAUCCGGACAGUCUGAGGGUGAUUUUCGGUCGAAAUGAGCUUGGAGAUGAUCAAACAUUUGAAUCGUGUAGGAUUCAACAUCUGUCUCUCCUGUACAUCGUGCUCAAGAUGCCUGGAGUUUGAGGCCCACUUCCGCAUGAAGAAGGAUUUCCCAGAUCUGACUCAAUGGAAAGAUUAAGUUACAGCAUGUGAAGUGAACUUCAAUAUGAUUAAGAGUUAAUAUUUUGCACACUGCAGAAUGAAUGAGAACAUCGUCGCAUCAUAUACAACAACACUAUCAGAACUUACCUAUGUUUGCAGCAACUGUUUGUAAAUAAUUUUUUAAAUAAUUUUUUGUAAAGUCCACACUAGGUGUUACGAGAACCAGCGAUUGCUUUCCGGAGAUCGCUGGUUUCCACUAUACCAGUGUAACCGGUUCUGCGUUGUGUUUUCUUUGUUUUAUUAAGGAAUAACCAGUCGGAGAUCUGCAGUUGUGACGGCUCUUUACUCACUGAGAAUAAAUCAAAAAGCACAGCUUUUACAGUGUGUCUUCGCCCUUACAGCUUUUCUAUUAAAAGUAAAGUGCAAUACAUUUAGCAUUCACAUGCUUCAGUUAGGCUAAAGUCAAUCAAAACCUCAAUUUAAGUGAUGAGACAAAAAUAAUGAAAUAUAUGUGAAAAAUAAAGGUGUAAAUAUUAUUUAAACAUGAAAA